GAUGAACGCUAGCGGGAGGCCUAACACAUGCAAGCCGAGCGGUAUUGUUUCUUCGGAAAUGAGAGAGCGGCGUACGGGUGCGGAACACGUGUGCAACCUGCCUUUAUCUGGGGGAUAGCCUUUCGAAAGGAAGAUUAAUACUCCAUAAUAUAUUGAACGGCAUCGUUUAAUAUUGAAAGCUCCGGCGGAUAGAGAUGGGCACGCGCAAGAUUAGCUAGUUGGUGAGGUAACGGCUCACCAAGGCAAUGAUCUUUAGGGGGCCUGAGAGGGUGAUCCCCCACACUGGUACUGAGACACGGUCCAGACUCCUACGGGAGGCAGCAGUGGGGAAUUUUGGACAAUGGGCGAAAGCCUGAUCCAGCAAUGCCGCGUGCAGGACGAAGGCCUUCGGGUUGUAAACUGCUUUUGUACGGAACGAAAAGGUAGCUCCUAAUACGAGCUGCUGAUGACGGUACCGUAAGAAUAAGCACCGGCUAACUACGUG
rnacentral:rRNA from 1 species